rnacentral:rRNA from 1 species
GGGUUGUGAGGUUAAGCGACUAAGCGUACACGGUGGAUGCCCUGGCAGUCAGAGGCGAUGAAGGACGUGCUAAUCUGCGAUAAGCGUCGGUGAGGUGAUAUGAACCGUUAUAACCGGCGAUUUCCGAAUGGGGAAACCCAGUGUGUUUCGACACACUAUCAUUAACUGAAUCCAUAGGUUAAUGAGGCGAACCGGGGGAACUGAAACAUCUAAGUACCCCGAGGAAAAGAAAUCAACCGAGAUUCCCCCAGUAGCGGCGAGCGAACGGGGAGGAGCCCAGAGCCUGAAUCAGUGUGUGUGUUAGUGGAAGCGUCUGGAAAGGCGUGCGAUACAGGGUGACAGCCCCGUACACAAAAAUGCACAUAUUGUGAGC